rnacentral:lncRNA from 1 species
UCAAUUAUUCCCCCAAUCCUAAAGUCAUUAAACCCUCUUUCUCCCUCUCUCCAUAUUCUCUCUACCAAAUACGCAUGGUGCCACCACUCCUUUCGACGAUGGCCGCUCCUCUUUUGCGCCAUCGCCGCGUUGGCUACCACAGAUCAGCCUUGCACCACCACCGUCGCUUACCUCGCUCUAACCCCCACCUCGACCCAUUUGUUGGAUGUUUUAUCUGGCUGUGUGAAUCAAUGUUUUUUUUUUUUUUUUUUUUUUUUUUAAUUUUUUUUUUUUUUUUUUUUUUUUUUUUUUAAUUUUUAUCUUGGUUUCAAGUUGACAGGUGGAGGAAUUUUGUGGAUGAAAAUGCAGGAUGAAAAAGGUAAUAUGUAAGCAGUCGACUGGGUUGCUGAUUUGAGGUAUGAGGUUGUGGUGUUUGAUGCAACAGCAUAUGAUCAGCCAGCGCUGCUACCGGGAGAUUCAUUGGUUUUGCGAGUGUUGUUGGUCUCGAUCUGGGGAAAUAUGGUCAUGAUCUGGUGUCGAAAAAUUUAGGGUGCAUUUAGUUGGUUGCGUGCAGAUAGUGUUGCUGCCCGUGUGGUGGUGUAGGCUGUGAUGGUCGCGAUCGUGGUUGUGCAAUUUUUAGGCGACAACAGCGGUGCCGAUUUUGGGCGGCGAUGGUUUUGAGCGUGAGCACUGUUGCUAGCGGUGGAAAAUGUGUGGAAAAUCUAAACUUUUGGGUGUCGGAGUUUUUGAGGUAGUUGAUGGUGGUUUGUAGGUCACGGUGUUUGUAGUUGGUGGUGGUGCUAGGGUGAUGUGGCGGUGAUUGAUUAUUUUGGAUUUGAUUCUAUAUUAGUGUUUUGGGUGGUGUUGGCUGUGAUGCUGACUGCGGUGGUGAGGUGGUGGUGGUGGUCGGCAGUGACGACGGUGGUGGUAGUGGCAACGGUGAUGGUGUAGGAUUGAGUAUUUGUUAUCAAUUAUUUGGUUGAUUGUGAUCAAUAACUUGUAAGUCGUGACUUAUAAAAUUUGUAAUUUGUCGUGGAUAAAUAAUUUGUGACCUAUAAUGUUUUUCAGUUUUGAUCGAUAAAUAAAUUGUGGCCUACAAAAUUUUGUCUUCAUGACAAAGAAAUAUUUUGUGAUC